rnacentral:rRNA from 1 species
GUGUCCUACGGGAGGCAGCAGUGAGGAAUAUUGGUCAAUGGCCGAGAGGCUGAACCAGCCAAGUCGCGUGAGGGAAGAAUGUCCUAUGGAUUGUAAACCUCUUUUGUCAGGGAACAAAGGCGGGGACGUGUCCCCGGAUGAGUGUACCUGAAGAAAAAGCAUCGGCUAACUCCGUGCCAGCAGCCGCGGUAAUACGGAGGAUGCGAGCGUUAUCCGGAUUUAUUGGGUUUAAAGGGUGCGCAGGCGGUCUGUUAAGUCAGCGGUCAAAGCCCGGGGCUCAACCCCGGCCCGCCGUUGAAACUGGC